rnacentral:rRNA from 1 species
AUUGAACGCUGGCGGCAGGCCUAACACAUGCAAGUCGAGCGGAUGAAGGGAGCUUGCUCCUGGAUUCAGCGGCGGACGGGUGAGUAAUGCCUAGGAAUCUGCCUGGUAGUGGGGGAUAACGUCCGGAAACGGGCGCUAAUACCGCAUACGUCCUGAGGGAGAAAGUGGGGGAUCUUCGGACCUCACGCUAUCAGAUGAGCCUAGGUCGGAUUAGCUAGUUGGUGGGGUAAAGGCCUACCAAGGCGACGAUCCGUAACUGGUCUGAGAGGAUGAUCAGUCACACUGGAACUGAGACACGGUCCAGACUCCUACGGGAGGCAGCAGUGGGGAAUAUUGGACAAUGGGCGAAAGCCUGAUCCAGCCAUGCCGCGUGUGUGAAGAAGGUCUUCGGAUUGUAAGGCACUUUAAGUUGGGAGGAAGGGCAGUAAGUUAAUACCUUGCUGUUUUGACGUUACCAACAGAAUAAGCACCGGCUAACUUCG